AGGCAAUGAUUACAAAUUUAUCCGCGCUUCUGAGGUUCUAUCAAUGAAACAUAGGAUUUAUAAUAAUGGUUGAAUUUCUUGAUAUGAGCCG